rnacentral:rRNA from 1 species
GACGAACGCUGGCGGCGUGCUUAACACAUGCAAGUCGAACGGAAAGGCCCUGCUUUUGUUGCGUGCUCGAUUGGCGAAGGGGUGAGUAACACGUGUGUAACAUGCACUUGACUUAGGGAUAAAUUCUGGGAAAUGGGGCGCAUAUCCGAUAGGAGCUACUGCUCCAUGUGGGGGGUUGGUAAGAUUCGGCGGUUGGGGCUAGACUCGAGGCUUAUCAGCUUGUUUGUGAGGUAGUUGCGUACCAAGGCUUUGACGGGUAGCCGGCAUGGGAGGGGGACCGGCCACAUUGGGACUGCGAUACGGACCAGAAUCGUACGGGAGGCAGCAGGGGGGAAUAUUGCAGAAUGGGCGGAAGCCUGAUGCAACAACGCCGCGUGCGGGAUGACGGCUUUCGGGUUGUAAACAGCUUUCGCAUGUGACGAGGAGUGAGUGACGGUAAUGGGUAAAGAAGCAACGGCUAACUACGUG